rnacentral:lncRNA from 1 species
GGCAGAAUGCCCAGGCUGGAGCCCCCUGCAAGGCCAGGGCUCGGGGCCCGAGGUCACCUACCUGCCGAGGGAGGUGACGGCUCUCCUGCUCCAGCUCCCAGGCUUGGGGACCCCGGUGAGGACGCCGCGAUGUAACACAAACAAGGUCAGAAGCCACGUCCCCAGUGGAGCAGCCGCCCAACGCCCAUCACCCCCACGUCACCCGGUGCACGUCACCCGCCUCACUGUCCAGAAGCCACCCGGGGUGUGAGGUCAGGGGACCUGGGCAGGAACUGGGGACCUGGCAGCCUGUGGGUUGGGAAAAGGAGAAGAGGUGGGGACACGGCCCGCGCCAGGUGGCCACUUCCUCCUGAGACGCAGAGGAGACCCGCUGUCGCGUGGGCAGGUGGGCAGGUGGCCGGCCCGGGACGGCACAGGUGGCCCGCGGACAGGGCACGUGCCGAGCCCCAGCCUGACUCACCCUGGCCACCCACGGGGACGCGUCGGCCACCUUUCUCCCUGGGUUUCCCCCGAGGCACGCGGAGGACAACGGGUGGGGACAGUGAGGUGUUCUCAGAAGGAGGGGACGACUUGCUGCAGGUCGCGUCAGCCACAGGUGGGUCAGGAGACCGGGCCUGGGGGACGCCGGAACAGUGCCACCGUCACUGUCUUCUCCCACCCACUGCCACCGUCACCGUCACGGCCACAGCCACCCUGAUCACCUCCAUCAUCGCCGCCGCGGUUCCCACCACCUCCCCACCAUCCCCCAAGACUGGCUGCUCCUGCCACCUCAUCACGGUCACCACCGCCCUCGCCGUCCCCAUCGCCCCGUCUCCACGCCUCUGUGUGCUGAACGCGGUCCCCACCACUGUGUCCCCACCACCCCGGCUCCUGACCCACCCACCGCACCUCGGUGCCCUCCCAGCAGCCCACGGGGGUCCACCUGGUCCAUCCUGACGCGUGAAGCUGGGGAAGAUUCAAAACCCAAGCCGUGACCCGCCCGUCACUCCCAACACUCCACACGGGGUGCGGGUACCACCGGGGACACAGGUUGGGACCCAGUAUGGAAAUACCAGUUUCUCCCAGCAGCUCAGUUCUGAAGACAGAGAGAGACUCUGCCAAUCCUCUACCCGAGGCUCAGAGACAUCGAGUGUCCUGCUGAAGGUCACACAGCCAGUAACUGCCAGCAUCAGGCAGAAGAGGGUCUACAUCAAACACACCGCCCCCCCGGGUCACACGCCCAGCCUCCGCCCUGGUCACAGAGCAGGGGAGGCAGGUCUUUUGCACACUAUCCAGGUGUGGGAGCCGUGGAGACGCCACUGGACCCCCCUGGAGAGAACCCCCAGGGUUCAGGCAGCAGCCUCCAGCCGCCAGCCUCCACUGGCCUGCUCUUUCCCAGCGUGUAAGCUCUGCCAGGUGCUUCCCAGGCGGCCAUGGCUGGGCAGUGUGGGUCUCCUGUGGGAGAUCCCUGCCCCGGGUUCUCAGUGCCCUGGCGGAGGCUUCUCAGAGCCGCACCCCAGAGCCUCCCUGGGAGCCCUCUCUCCCAGCGUCCGGCCGCCUGCUCUCCAUCGGUCUCUGCCUCCCGCUUCUUUCAAAGGCAUUGUCCCCCGAGUCUCCCGGGCCCCAGAUCACAGCCGGGGACUCUCCCCUUCCCGGCCUUGAGCCUGGACUUUGGGCCGACGCCCUUCAACCCUGUGGAGGAGCGUUGGCCACUGUAGCUGGACCCCGCUGUGAGUCAACGCCACGCUGACCCCCACCCGGGGGCUGGCCCUGGCGCCCAUGUGGGGUCCCCGUCCACUGUGGACAGUGGGAGCAGGCCUCGACGUCCUCCUCUCUGAGGAUCACGGCAGCCCUAUGGCUGGGCACCUAAGGGGCACCCGGCGAGGGCGUUGCUCUAGGGAGUGUGGCCUGAGAGGGACAGCGUGACAAGCACUGGGGACGCAGGUGUGGGCCAAAUCAAGGUGACGGUCCCACUGAACUUUGUCUUCUUAAAGCCGAAUCCAAAUCUCUCCGAGAUCCUCAAGAGAAGGUCACGCAAACAAGAUGAGCGUGACUCUGAGACGGAAGACGGAGGCCGCCCCGCGCCACGGUGUCCUUCAGGGGGAACCGACUGGGUUCAAGGGAAGCAGGAAGCCCGGGCAGGGCGGUGGGUGCCCAGCGCUGGCCGUGGGCGGUCUCUCUGGGAACGCCGGACAGCGACUCAGCGAGCCAAGGUCAAGGGCAUCUUGCUCUCUCUUACAAAGUGUCAUGAUUCCACGUCCAAUGACAUAGACGUCCUCUGAGCGCGCACACCUGUCUUCGUCUCCUUCAUCCACGUCCGCAAC